rnacentral:rRNA from 1 species
CCUUGGCGUCUCAGAGAGUUUGAUUAUGGCUCAGGAUGAACGCUGGCGGCGUGCUUAACACAUGCAAGUCGAACGGAGUUAUUAAACGGAAGUUUUCGGAUGGAAGUUUAAGAACUUAGUGGCGGACGGGUGAGUAACGCGUGGGUAAUCUGCCUCAUACAGGGGGAUAACAGUUAGAAAUGACUGCUAACACCGCAUAAUAUAGCGAAACCGCAUGAUUUUUGCUAUCAAAUAUUUAUAGGUAUGAGAUGGGCCCGCGUCUGAUUAGCUAGUUGGUGGGGUAAAAGCCUACCAAGGCGACGAUCAGUAGCCGGCUUGAGAGAGUGACCGGCCACAUUGGGACUGAGACACGGCCCAAACUCCUACGGGAGGCAGCAGUGGGGAAUAUUGGACAAUGGGGGAAACCCUGAUCCAGCGAACCGCCGCGUGAGUGAAGAAGUAUUUCGGUAUGUAAAGCUCUAUCAGCAGGGAAGAUAAUGACAGUACCUGACUAAGAAGCCCCGGCUAACUACGUGCCAGCAGCCGC